rnacentral:rRNA from 1 species
AUGCACGACCCCACACCCGGGCCUGACGAGCUUGAAGAGGAGAUCGCCGAGUCCGACCUCAAGCUCGACCAUGACGGUGUCGUCCAUCCCGACCACGCCGACGCGCGACAGAAGCGCCCUCCCCAGCAGCAGCAGCAGCACACGAUGAGCGGCACGAGGUGGGCGACGAGGCCGGCGACCUUCACGGCGGCACAGUACGAGGAGUUGGAGCAGCAGGCGCUCAUCUACAAGUACCUCGUUGCCGGCGUCCCCGUCCCGCCGGAUCUCCGCCUCCCCAUCCGCCGCGGCUUUGACUCCCUCGCCUCGUGCUUCUACCACCACCACGCCCGUACGUUCUCCUACCUCAGUAGAGUAUUUCUUCUGUAA